rnacentral:rRNA from 1 species
UACGUAGGGGGCAAGCGUUGUCCGGAAUUAUUGGGCGUAAAGCGCGCGCAGGCGGUUAUUUAAGUUGGGUGUUUAAUCCCGGGGCUCAACCUCGGGUCGCACCCAAAACUGGAUAACUUGAGUGCAGAAGAGGAGAGUGGAAUUCCACGUGUAGCGGUGAAAUGCGUAGAUAUGUGGAGGAACACCAGUGGCGAAGGCGGCAUCCUGGACCGGUAUUGACGCUGAGGCGCGAAAGCCAGGGGAGCAAACGGG